GAAUUAUGCUGGUUUCCUAUCAGCUUACUUUUAUCUUUAAGCAGUUGAGGAAUAAACUCAUAUUCAGAAGUCUCUCAAGAACAUUUGUGUAACAGCUGGUUCAGUGUCAACAACCCCAAGUCAUUUACACAGGCAUUCAGUUUGUUAGGUUCUUGAAUGGUUCCUCCAUCUCAACCCUGGUACUUAUAUUCUUAAUAAAAACACGUCCUUCACAUCUUAGCUGCUGCUUCCACCUUCACUUACUAUUAUGCCUCCAGCCUACAUUAGAAAAUCAGUAGUGGUAUCCAGCUUCUUUUAUGUGGUUUCACCUUGUGAGAAUCUCUGCACCUCUUUCUGCUUCUCUUUGUGGAUUCUGUGAGUGCUGAUGCAAGAAUUAUAAAUUGAUACAUAGAAAUAGUUUUUCAGAGGGUUGUCAUGGUACAGUAGUUGCUAUUGUCAAUGGAAAAAUAGGAUGGCGGCUAUCCUAUCAUUGCCACAGUGCCCGCUUUCCUGCUCCCAGGGGCAGUGCAUUCCAGCCCCAUGUAAAUUACUCACUCCUACAGGUCUGAAGAUGUCACAUCUCAGGGGGACUCUGUCUUGUCUGAAGGAAAGUCUAAGCUGUUCUCAUGUCCCAAACCCCCUCAUUUCUCCUGAUGCUCC
rnacentral:lncRNA from 1 species